rnacentral:rRNA from 1 species
UACGUAGGUGGCAAGCGUUGUCCGGAUUUACUGGGCGUAAAGAGCGCGCAGGCGGUCGUUCAAGUCGCGUGUGAAAGCCCCCGGCUCAACUGGGGAGGGUCACGCGAUACUGAUCGACUCGAAGGCAGGAGAGGGUAGUGGAAUUCCCGGUGUAGUGGUGAAAUGCGUAGAUAUCGGGAGGAACACCAGUGGCGAAGGCGACUUCCUGGCCUGUUCUUGACGCUGAGGCGCGAAAGCUAGGGUAGCAAACGGG